GUUGCCUGUGAAAUGAAUAGGAGUUCAGCCCUUUAAGUCUUUCCCCCCUCACCCAUGCUUACGCUAAAAUUGAUUAAGGAAACUAAAGGCGUUAAUCAAAAGGGGUACAGCCCUUUUGAUAGAAGAAACAACUUUAACAGGUGACCCAAGAUCAUAUUACUCAAGGAUUUCAAAUUAAGUGGGCCUAAAAGCAGCCAUCUUAUCAGAAAGCGUUAAAGCUCAAAUUAGCCUAUAUCCUCAUAUACUGAUAUUACAUCUCCCUCCCUGCCCCUUACCAGGCUGUCUUAUGCCCCCAUAAGAACAAUUAUGCUAAAAUGAGUAAUAAGAAGAAUUUAAUUCUUCUCCUAGCACAUGUGUAAGUCGGAACGGACCUCCCACCGACUAUUAAUCGACCCCAAACCCAGAGGGUAAUAGGUCGUAUAAACAAGAAAAACACCUAUUUUGUAUCGUUAACCCCACACAGGUGUGCCUAAAGGAAAGACUAAAAGAGAAGGAAGGAACUCGGCAAACACAAGCCUCGCCUGUUUACCAAAAACAUCGCCUCUUGCUCCAAAAAUAUAAGAGGUCCCGCCUGCCCUGUGACUAUAAGUUUAACGGCCGCGGUAUUUUA
rnacentral:rRNA from 1 species